CAGCAGCCGCGGGAAUACGUAGGUGGCAAGCGUUGUCCGGAAUUAUUGGGCGUAAAGGGCUCGCAGGCGGUUUCUCAAGUCUGAUGUGAAAGCCCCCGGCUCAACCGGGGAGGGUCAUUGGAAACUGGGAAACUUGAGUGCAGAAGAGGAGAGUGGAAUUCCACGUGUAGCGGUGAAAUGCGUAGAGAUGUGGAGGAACACCAGUGGCGAAGGCGACUCUCUGGUCUGUAACUGACGCUGAGGAGCGAAAGCGUGGGGAGCGAACAGGAUUAGAUACCCGGGUAGUCCCUGUCUCUUAUAC
rnacentral:rRNA from 1 species